UACAGAGGGGGCGAGCGUUGUUCGGAAUUACUGGGCGUAAAGGGCGCGUAGGCGGCCUUCUAAGUCGAACGUGAAAUCCCCGGGCUCAACCCGGGAACUGCGUCCGAUACUGGGAGGCUUGAAUCCGGGAGAGGGAUGUGGAAUUCCAGGUGUAGCGGUGAAAUGCGUAGAUAUCGGAAGGAACAUCAGUGGCGAAAGCGACUUCCUGGACCAAUACUGACGCUCAUGUGCGAAAGCGUGGGGAGCAAACAGG
rnacentral:rRNA from 1 species